rnacentral:misc_RNA from 1 species
GCCGAGAGGUGAAAUGAGUUUCGCCUGAGGAUGAGCUCGCGUCUGAUUAGCUAGUUGGUGGGGUAAGAGCCUACCAAGGCAUCGAUNCAGUAGCUGGUCUGAGAGGAUGAUCAGCCACACUGGGACUGAGACACGGCCCAGACUCCUACGGGAGGCAGCAGUGGGGAAUUUUCCGCAAUGGGCGAAAGCCUGACGGAGCAACGCCGCGUGAGGGACGAAGGCCUCUGGGCUGUAAACCUCUUUUCUCAAGGAAGAAGACCUGACGGUACUUGAGGAAUGAGCCACGGCUAAUUCCGUGCCAGCAGCCGCGGUAAUACGGGAGUGGCAAGCGUUAUCCGGAAUUAUUGGGCGUAAAGCGUCCGCAGGCGGCCUUUUAAGUCUGUUGUCAAAGCGUGGAGCUUAACUCCAUUUCGGCAAUGGAAACUGGGAGGCUUGAGUGUGGUAGGGGCAGAGGGAAUUCCCGGUGUAGCGGUGAAAUGCGUAGAUAUCGGGAAGAACACCAGUGGCGAAGGCGCUCUGCUGGGCCAUAACUGACGCUCAUGGACGAAAGCCAGGGGAGCGAAAGGGAUUAGAUACCCCUGUAGUCCUGGCCGUAAACGAUGAACACUAGGUGUCGGGGGAAUCGACCCCCUCGGUGUCGUAGCCAACGCGUUAAGUGUUCCGCCUGGGGAGUACGCACGCAAGUGUGAAACUCAAAGGAAUUGACGGGGGCCCGCACAAGCGGUGGAGUAUGUGGUUUAAUUCGAUGCAACGCGAAGAACCUUACCAGGGUUUGACAUCCUGCGAAUCCCCUGGAAACGGGGGAGUGCCUUCGGGAGCGCAGAGACAGGUGGUGCAUGGCUGUCGUCAGCUCGUGUCGUGAGAUGUUGGGUUAAGUCCCGCAACGAGCGCAACCCACGUCUUUAGUUGCCAGCAUUCAGUUGGGCACUCUAGAGAGACCGCCGGUGAUAAACCGGAGGAAGGUGUGGAUGACGUCAAGUCAUCAUGCCCCUUACAUCCUGGGCUACACACGUACUACAAUGCUACGGACAAAGGGCAGCAAACUCGCGAGAGCUAGCAAAUCCCAUAAACCGUGGCUCAGUUCAGAUCGUAGGCUGCAACUCGCCUACGUGAAGGAGGAAUCGCUAGUAAUCGCAGGUCAGCAUACUGCGGUGAAUACGUUCCCGGGCCUUGUACACACCGCCCGUCACACCAUGGAAGUUGGCCACGCCCGAAGCCGUUACUCCAACCCUUGUGGAGGAGGACGUCGAAGGUGGGGCUGAUGACUGGGGUGAAGUCGUAACAAGGUAGCCGUACCGGAAGGUGCGGCUGGAUCACCUCCUAACAGGGAGACAAACCUGAUCGUGAUGUCUGAGUGAAUUUAAUCUCAGGCCAUGAUCCUGUCACCUUAGGUCGAUCGGUACCUCAAGGAGAGGAUGGAAGAUCCUGAGAGAUCAGGGGAGAUUCAUUUAAUCUUUUUCAGUUCCUAAACUUUGUCUAGGUCACCCCGUAGCUCCUGGGCCAUUAGCUCAGGUGGUUAGAGCGCACCCCUGAUAAGGGUGAGGUCCCUGGUUCAAGUCCAGGAUGGCCCAUUCACAGCCUGCUCAGCAGGUAGGACUUGACUAGCUGGGGGUUUAGCUCAGUUGGUAGAGCGCCUGCUUUGCAAGCAGGAUGUCAGCGGUUCGAGUCCGCUAACCUCCAUAUCAACGGGACCCCAUAAGCGAAAGCAAGUGAGCUAAAUCGGAGUGAUCAAGAUAGGGAAGGAGAGGAGCUGAGAAUGACUCCAGCCUUCAGGAUUCAGUAGCCAGAGUUCAGAUAUGGAACGAUAGCUAUUUUGAGUUUUGAAUGCUGGACUCAGCCGGUGAGCCAUUGUUCACUGGUGAGCUGUUCAGCGAAGAACCUUGACAACUGCAUAGGUGAGUCUGGAAACAAAGCAUCUCAUGGAUGCCUUGUGGGAUGAGGAGCAAGAAAUUGUGACUGAUGCCAUAGGGAAAUUCUAUUGAGUUUUAGAGCCGAGAUUUUCCAGUGUUCUUCCAGAGCUCAAGCCAAUCCAGCUUGGGAGUGGGAGUUUGAUU